rnacentral:rRNA from 1 species
GACGAACGCUGGCGGCGUGCUUAACACAUGCAAGUCGAACGAUGAUGCGGUGCGUGCACCGUUGAUUAGUGGCGAACGGGUGAGUAACACGUGAGUAACCUGCCCUCUUCUUUGGGAUAACGGUCUGAAAGGGCUGCUAAUACUGAAUAUUCACAUGUCUUCGCAUGGGGGUGUGUGGAAAGAGAUGCUUUUGGGUGUUUUUGGUGGGGGAUGGGCUCGCGGCCUAUCAGCUUGUUGGUGGGGUAGUGGCCUACCAAGGCUUUGACGGGUAACCGGCCUGAGAGGGUGACCGGUCACAUUGGGACUGAGAUACGGCCCAGACUCCUACGGGAGGCAGCAGUGGGGAAUUUUGCACAAUGGACGCAAGUCUGAUGCAGCGACGCCGCGUGAGGGAUGUAGGCCUUCGGGUUGUGAACCUCUUUCGCUCAUGGUCAAGCCGCAGCUUUGGGUUGUGGUGAGGGUAGUGGGUAAAGAAGCGCCGGCUAACUACGUGCCNGCAGCCGCGGUAAUACGUAGGGCGCGAGCGUUGUCCGGAAUUAUUGGGCGUAAAGGGCUUGUAGGCGGUUGGUCGCGUCUGCCGUGAAAUCCUCUGGCUUAACUGGGGGCGUGCGGUGGGUACGGGCUGGCUUGAGUGCGGUAGGGGAGACUGGAAUUCCUGGUGUAGCGGUGGAAUGCGCAGAUAUCAGGAGGAACACCGGUGGCGAAGGCGGGUCUCUGGGCCGUUACUGACGCUGAGGAGCGAAAGCGUGGGGAGCGAACAGG